UAAGCAUUAGCACAACUCUCCUCCCCCAGGUAGCAAGGGGAACAAAAACCAUGGAAACCGAAGUGAGCAUCGAAUUAGGAGAAUGGAGCAGGACGUUGGUUUUCACCUCGCUAUGCCAAAUGCACAGGAAUACACACAACGGAGAAAGGUGUUCCGCUUUCAAUAUGGAAACUUUGCAAGGAUUUCUCAACUGUUUUUUUUUUUUUUUUUUUUUUUUACCACCUGUAAUCUGUCUUCGAACAGGGAUGUUACCUUUAAAAAAAAAAAAAGGGCAGCCGGAAGUGGUGGCUCACGCCUGUGAUCCCAGCACUUUGGGAGGCUGAGGCAGGUGGAUCACCUGAGGUCAGGAGUUCGAGAUCAGCCUGGCCAACCUGGUGAAACCCCAUCUCUACUAAAAAUAUAAAAAUUACCUGGGCAUGGUGGUGGGCGCCUGAAAUCCCAGCUACUCGAGAGGCUGAGGCAGGAGAAUUGCUUGAACCCAGGAGGCANNNNNNNNNNNNNNNNNNNNNNNNNNNACUGCACUCCAGCCUGGGUGACAGAGCGAGACUCUGGCUCAAAAACAAACAAACAAACAAAAAGCACAACCUUGUUUCAGUAACAUAUGUGGAAAAACUCUAAAUAAAUCACUUUCUCAUUAUGAAACACUUCUCCUGUUUUAAAAACCAAAAUCAGGAAUUUGACUUUAAGAAAGAAAAAAAUGAAAUUUCAUAAUGGCCGCUGUCUGCAGUGAAUUAAUAUCUAGAGGCCCACUGGCCACCUGCUCGUAGCCUGUCCUGCGUUCUUGCCCAGUCACAGGUGAACUCAGAAGCACUUGGGUUUAUGACAUAUUUGCAAUGCUCCGUUUAGAACAUAUAGCUUCUUCAGUGAUUGUUUAAUUGUGAACAUAUCGGCAUGUGAUUUGAGGUCAGCUGUUUGCUCCCUGGGUGGUACAGCCAAUCCAUAAUCUUGAUAGGGAGAAAUCUCACUAAAGUCCAAGCUGUAAGUUCUAGGCUGUCAACGAAUACUCUCCCUCUCUUCAAAUCUUCUGUGUCUAUCAUGAAAAAAAUUCUCAAACUGUUUACCUUUCCCUGAAUAUUACUGAGAAUAUAUUUUUAAAGGCAUUAUUCUCUUCUUCAUUGCCUCAUUUGCUAUCACUCUUCCUCAUUGCUCUCCUGCCUUAUUCUUCUUCAUUACCUUGAAAAAGGCAGACAGGCAAACAAAAGAAAAUGGUCUCUAAUGCUACCACCCAAAGAUAAUCACAAUUAACAUUUUGGUGCAGAGUCUUCCAGGCUGUUUGAGAGAGGUUUUGGUUUGUUUGUUUGUUUGUGCUUUAUUGGGUUUUUUUUUUAAUAAGCACCAAAAGAAACUGAAAAUAAGUUUUGCCAGAGUGUUAAAGUGAUGCCGUCUUCUAAAAAAAUUUUUUUGCUAAGCUAAAACCACAUAAAAUAAGAUUUUCUUUCAUUUAAUGUUUUCAGUUUGCCACCAGUAUACAUACAGCUAAAGUGGGCCAUCAGUCUAUGGGAAAACGGGCAAAUUUUUUGCUUUUUUUGGGAUGGAGUUUCACUCUUGUUGCCCAGGCUGAAGUGCAGUGGUGCAAUCUCAGCUCAUUGCGACCUCUGCCUCCCGUGUUCAAGCGAUUCUCCUGCCUCAGCCUCCUGAAUAGCUGGGAUUACACGUGCCCACCACCACACCCAGCUAAUUUUUGUAUUUCUAGUAGAGAGGGGGUUUCACUAUGUUGUCCAGGCUGGUCUCAUACUCCAGACCUCAGGUGAUCUGCCUACCUUGGCCUCCCAAAGUGCUGGGAUUACAGGUGUGAGCCACGUGCUGGGAUUACAGGUGUGAGCCACCGUACCUGGCCUUCCAACUCUUCUCAAACCCUCACUCCAGGAUCCCUUGUCUGCUUGUCUUGCUUACAAUUUUGCUUCUGAGGGAAGAGAGUAGAGUCAAAGGGAUGAGAUCGGAAGCAAAUACACCCAAAUAUUAAUAGGGGUCAACUCUGGUCAAUUGAAACACAGGUGUUGGUUGUAUUAGUUUCUGUAUUCUUACAGAUAUUUUUAAAGUUCUAGAUAUUAACAAAACAAAGCUAAUAAAAGAUAUGGUCUCUGUGUUCCAGGAGCUCAGGGUCUGGUCAUGUGUAAUCAAUUACAGUAAAUUCAAGACUUGCAAAUAGAUCUGUCCUCUAGAGGGCUUUCUAAUGAGGUUAGUACAAGGUGCUAGACUCUAGCAGCUAUAGGAACACAGAGCAUGGAGUAUACUCCCCCUCCACGUUUCCUUGGAGAAUGUAGAGAGGCUUCUGCGAAGAGGCAAAGCCUGACUUGAGGCUUGGAGGAUGAGUAGUUUUCCAUGGUUUCCAGUGCAGGUAGGAGUGUGUUGCAGAAAGCCCUGAUACAUGUAAAUCAGACUCGGAGACCAAAUCAUAUGCUUGGGGAAGAGAGACUAUUUUCGGUAUGGCUGGGGUUGUUCUGUGUCAGCAGAU
rnacentral:lncRNA from 1 species